rnacentral:lncRNA from 1 species
AUGGCCAAGCGGUCUAACAUGCUGCGAUCAGAAAGGUCCAAUGCUGAAGUGACAAAAGGAAUGACUCACAAUCCGGAGUGUAAGAAUGGAGGUCGAUGGAAAUAUCCUCUAUACAGUAAGUGCCAACAUUGCAAAAACAACCUCCAAAAACAGUGGCUUCACACAGUAAGUAUUCAUUGUCUCACCUACAUUCUAUGGGACCAGUAUCACAGCAGCUCUGAUGGGUGGAUGUGGUUCGAGAUCUCUCAUGAAGUAGUAGUCGAGAUUUCUGCCAGGGAUUCAGUCUUCUGACAGCUCAACAGGCAAGUUGAAAGCUCAUGUCCAAAAUAAUUCAUGCGGCUGUUGUCUAGAGGUCUCAGUCCCUUAUCAUGUGGAUUUCUUUAUAAGAAGGCAUGAACAUCCUCAGGGCAUGGCAGUUAUCUUCCUAUAGAGACUGAUCUAAAAGAGCAAAACAAAAGAAAGUCACCAUGUGUUUUUAUGAUUUAAACACAUGUGUGCUAUUCACUAGAAGCACUAUUCACUAGACAGCACUGAGUCAAGUCCCCCAGUCAAGGAAGAGGAGUAAUGGGCCCCACCUUCUAGGGAGAAGAUGUCAAAGAAUAUGCAAAUCUAUUUCAAAAUCAUCUUGACAAGAUUAGACACGCUUCUCCAAAGAAACAGGACCAAUAAGUUGCAUACACAGGAAAACACAUACACAUACUUAUCCGUAACCCAGAAAUAGACUUAUUAUAAGGAACGGUUGCACAUGAUGACAGAGGCUGGCUUGUCCAAGAUCUGCAGACCUGAUAUCUCCCUUCAAAUCAGAAAGUUGAACCGUGCAUUAGAAACAGGAAGAGCUGAUGUCCUGGUUCAAAUGCUACCAAUAAGCAGGAAAACUCUAUCUUAACUCAGAAGAGGUACAGCCUUUUGUUCUACCAAGGCCUUCAGGUCACUGGAUAAGUCUCAUUGACCCAGCAUCUCAUUUAUUCAACUUCACUAAUUUUAGUGAAAAUUUCACCCAAAAACACCCUCACAGAAACAUCCAGAAUAAUGUUUUGCCAACUGUUAGGCACCUGUAGCCCAAAGUGACCCACAAAAUUAACCAUCACAGUCAACCUUCAAACAAUUAAUCAAUAAUGACAGAGUUGUGUUGUUCCUCUAGAAUUUCAUUAAUUUACUAACCUGUUCUCUGGAAAACAAUAUCCUGUGCUUGAGCAGAAUAUUAAAACUUACUAACUACUUCUCAAAAGCUUUUUACAUUUGAAUUUCACAAUAUCUGUGAUGAGAAAACUAAGGUUCAGAGAGGUGAAGUAAAUACUCACAACUAACUGAAAGUGCAAAAUUAAAAACCUAAGGAGAAGUGCUGGUUCUACAACCAUGGAAUUUUCCUCCAUGCAACCUUUUAUUUGUGGUAUUGUAUCAGUGGUUUCUCAUAAUGUCAACUGCAGUCAAAUUCUUUUUGUAAGUAAUUGUAUUCAGAGGAUAUGAGUGAAUCUGCCAGAUAGAAGAAGACAUUGGAACAUGCCUGUUCUGUCUACUUUUCUCACCUUCAGGGACCUUUGGGACCACCAAGCAUCUAUCUGUGAGUCCUGAAUUGAAAUCUACUAGCCCAGGUCAUAUUCAUGUCCAUCUCAAAAAUCAGGCUUUGUGGCAGGAACUGAAAGCCUGUUUCUCAAGUCAGGAAGGGCUGCUAUUGUUAUUGUCAUUUUAAUUUCACUCAGAUGGUCACCUCACUCUUGGCUUUGAAAGCAGCUCCAGGAAAAAAAAAUGAGUUUAGAUUUAGAAGGCAGUGUAUUGCACUGUGACUUAUCUUGGAUCAAAUGCACUCACACCUUUGCAUACAAGUUAUAACACUUCUGCAGCUGAACUCUCUUCAGUUUUCUGUGUUGUAAAAAGAGAUUUACUAAAAGAAAGUAGGAUGCCAGAACAAGAAAUGGUUUUGGAAAGGUACUUGGCAAAGUGAAUGGGAACAUAAUUUAGGAUGUCUGACUACAUUACUUUUUAUAAUUAGAACAUUUCAUGAUUAGAAAUGGUUGAUUAUAAAACCUCAGCAGCCUGUCAGCCAGAUACCUCCAAAAGCUUUAAAAAAGAGUAAUUUUUAAUCUCAAAAAAAGCCCCACCUCCACAAAAAAGUAAGAUAAAAUAACACUCCUAUGUCCCAAGUGAGAGAAGAACAGAGAUUCCCGAAAAGUCAGGCUAAAAUCAAUAUACUCAGCUCCUAUUGUCUACUACAGGUAUGGGCUGCACUUGAUAUUACCUCUCUCUAACUUCUUCCUGCUCAGGAUCACUUAAUGACAUCCUGUCAUUGCAAGCAGUCCAAAGCACCAAUGGCUCCCUAUUGCCUGCAGCACAAAUUUCAAUAUCUGAUCCAGCAUACUGGAACCCCAGUCAUAGUUGCCAUCACACAGGAGGCCUGGCUUAGAAUCUUGACUCCUGGCUCACAGACUCAGCCUGGAUCAGCCCCAGCAUUCCCUGGGCACACAGGCAGUAAGUCAACAGCUAAGACCGUUCGCAUUCACUCACUCUCUCUGACUCUGCCUUUGUAGUUUUGUGCCAUCAUGUAUUUCAAUUCAAUGCAAAUAAAUCUGACAAAUAUCAGUAGAGAAUUAGUAAA